rnacentral:ribozyme from 13 species
UGUUUUUUUUUUUUUUUUUUUUUUUUUUUUUCUUG